rnacentral:tRNA from 1 species
GUCCCUGAGGCUGGGCCGACCGAACUCCUGAAGCGGGUGUCGCAGGUUCGAAUCCUGCCGGGGGCA